rnacentral:lncRNA from 1 species
UCAAUGGCAACAUAAUAGUUAGAGGAGGGCACUUAAUUAACAUUAAUUGCUCACUCUGUGGCUCAUGGGUAAGAUUUACAGGAAAGCACCUUUUGAAAAAUAGUUUUGAGGGAAGCAUGUCUUCUCUCAUGCACUUAAGCUCAAUUUACAUACAUUUUUCCAUGCAUGAGGCAGUGGUAUCAAUAUUACUUUUAUUUGCAUAAUAUUUGUGGAAUUACAGAGGUAUAUUAAGUUCAAGGCGUGGCAGGAGAAAGAACCAUGGGCAGAAGCCAGCUCCUCAGUGUACAUUGUAUUUUAGAGGUUUUUUGAUAGCAGGAGAGUAGAAUGUAUUUUGUGCAGAAGAGCAGGUUUAUCAAGACUCUGAUCUCUUCCUUUCUUAACUCUCCCUCCUCCUUUGUUCUGCUCUUUCAGCUCAUUUUUGUAAGGGGGGUUUUCUUCUCAGGCUGCAUUUUUUUUCCUCUUCUUGAAGCUUGUUGGCUACAAAGAGGAAAAAGUGACAGGUUUGAAAUAAAGGUAAUCAUAGGUAAUGGUUUAUAUUUCUCUGUCCUUAUAGCCAGAGAAAAGCACUCAAAGCACUUUCAUACGAUAGCUCUAGUACAAAAUAAGGACCUUUCAGAAUGGCACCUUGCUUAACUGAGUGGUUGUGCUGACUGAAUUUUUCCAUUGCUGAAGAAUCCAUCAGAGCCUCUGGUCAUUUCUGAUCCAGCUUACACAGACCUUCCAUGUUUGUUCCCUCCCUCGGGUUCAAGGCAGCAAGACUCGCGAUCCUGCUCACAGAAUGUGCCUGUUAUGCAGUCAGUCAUGGAGGCACCCGGACAGAUGAGGUUCAAGUUGGUCUGCAUUGAUUUGAACGUACGGUAGCUUUGGAACUGCUCUAUUACCUGGAAGACCUCUGAAUUCUGGUUAAGCUCACUUUGAUCCUGGUCAUAUUGGCUGCUUAAAGUGUACUUACACGCAGCUUGAGCCUGUCUGGAUGCCGUUCUUCCUCUUCAUUCAUUUCUCUUUUCUGCCCUGAUUUGUAUCCCUGCCCUCCAGCAUAACAUUAUUUAGAAGCCUCUUGUCCUCCUGCACAGAUGGCAGUUUUCUGUAGGGAAAGUGAGUUGUAUGCCCGAAACAGGAAAGAUGUUGAUCCAGGAGAUUUAGAGAGAAAGGGAUGCUUCUUCUGGUAGGUUUCUGAGAGCUGGGGACUUAGCACAGUUUCUGAAAGAGCUGCUAGCGGGCUGAUCUUGAAUGCUGUGGGGGUUUGUGUCAUUGUCUUUGUUUCAAGCUCUUCUGGAAUCCUCACUUUGACUUUUAGUUGCAUUUGUGGAUGUAUUGAGACUGCAAUCAAUUGAUUGAAAUCCAUAAAUAAUAGGACAAUUUUCAAUUUGAGAUGCAGUAACAGGAUGCUAUUGGGAGAAGGUUUAUGUACGUGAGAAGCUUUUUAUAGCUCACUCCCCCCUCGAGUCCAGUCCUGGCCAGCCCCUGGCAAUGGGAAGGCCCUGGCCUUACCGCCAGCUUGUUGGAGGCCAAUCCCACACUGCACAGCAGCGGGGAUGCUCACACAGCCGUCUGUGGCAGUGCAGCACCGCAAGGCCUGCUGUGGCGCUCGGCUGAGCUUUGGGGGUCACAGGCGAUGUGGCAUUAAAGUAACUACGAGAAACAGAAAAAGCAAGACAGACUAACAUGAAAAAACACAUUUUAUUGCACUUAAGUUAUAAGAAAAUAAAAUUUCUAAGUGAAUCAAACCAUAGACACAGUCCCUUUAAACGCUGUUUUCCUCCAUCACGUCAGGUUGUUACAUAACUAAAAUUAACCAACUGGAAUCUGAUUGUUUUAAAUCAGACUAUAAAUAAAACAAAAAACAAAACAAAACAAAAAAAAAAAAGGAGGAAAAAAGAUCGCCUAGGAUACAGUGUUAAACCACUUUCACAGUUCAGCUUGAGUUGUGGCUCUUGGAGAAUGAGGCAAACUGUUUGACUCUUUCAUUUCUCAUCGUGUUUGCAUGUGACAUCUUUACAAAAACGUAAGUUUUUGCUCUGUCAGUUCCUCCCAGCAAUAACUGUAACAGUUGUUUUUUUUUUCUCAAAUACUGUAAAACACUACGACUGACCAGCAACUUUAUUUUCAUUUUUGUGUUUUAUAAUCUUUUUUAAAAAUUUUGUCAGUUUUUUUAAUUUUUUUUUUUGUGUUCAUUCCAUUCACCACAGCCCUCACAAAGAAAAAAUUUCCCCACAGAACAGGCUGCAAUAGCUUUGUUCUAAGGAAUGUGUUUUAAUUUUUGCCCAGAAAAAAAGAAAAUAAGCUUUGCACACACACUCAAUUCUUUAUUUGCAGGCAAACUUCACUCUUUAAUUGUCUGAAACUCUUCCACUCUCAGCCUCUUAGAGGCACAGUUGGCUCAAGUUUCAGUGGCAAAAAGUCUUUUUCUGUAACCAAACUAGAGCAAAUUUGGAAUUCAGUCUGGGACUAAAACGUCACAGCAGAAAAAAAAAAAUAAAAAAAAAUAAUUUGCUUUUUCUUUCUUUCAUUUAGCAGCAUAAAUAAGUUUGGCCACUGGGAAUACAGUACAGGGGUGGGAAAACAAUCCCGUAAUUGAAGACCUACUUCUAGCACCAGCGUUGCGAAUUAAAUCCGUCAGAGGACUCUCAGAACCCAGGACAACUUUGCCACCUCAGAGCAACUUAGGCGUUGAAGAGUGUAGAUGGAAGCAACGGUAAGUAGAUUAAACAGAGGCUAAUACUGUGAUUGACGUUGGCAAUGGUUGGCAAAAAAAAGGAAGAAAAGAAAAAAAAAAGAAAAAGAAAAAGCUCUGAUAAAACUGCACAAAACAAUUCACAGUACUAUUUUAGCUUUUCCACACCAGGAAUGGACUCUCUUUGUUUUGCGGUUGGUUUCAUUGCAGACGCUCUCUGGUUUUUGAAGUCAGCCGGCAGCCGCUCACGGAGGCUGGGAGGGACCCUGCUCAGAGCGGGGCCGGGAGGGCGCCUUGCUGAGGGGGCCAGGGGGUACCAGCAGGCGUGCAUGUGCAGCUUCCUUAAGGAUCUCUGUAGUAAAAUAACCUGGUAACAAGAACUGUAACUUUUUUUUUUUUUAACCUCCAGAUUGCUCAUGGAAGCAGCUGGAGGAAAGUAAAGAAAUAAUUGCACCUGGUUUCAUUUCAGAAGUUGUGUUUUUGCAAAGCUGCCCCGGUCGAAGGUGUUGCCAUUUUAUGUGACGAGACAGCGAAUGCCUCUCUUGUCAGUCAGAGUUUGUUAUCGUUGUCUUCUCCUUCGUAGUCUGUAGGUCUUUAGGAUCUGUUGCCCCAAGCCAACAUCCUGCACCACC